rnacentral:rRNA from 1 species
GAUCAUGGCUCAGGAUGAACGCUAGCUAAAGGCUUAACACAUGCAAGUCGAGGGGCAGCAUGGUCUUAGCUUGCUAAGGCCGAUGGCGACCGGCGCACGGGUGAGUAACACGUAUCCAACCUGCCGUCUACUCUUGGACAGCCUUCUGAAAGGAAGAUUAAUACAAGAUGGCAUCAUGAGUCCGCAUGUUCACAUGAUUAAAGGUAUUCCGGUAGACGGUGGGAUGCG